UUUCUUAUAUAAAGGUUUUUUCCUCAUUUCACUCCUCAUAUUUACAUUUUCGUGUUCUCUGCUUUUGUAUUUUCAAACCACACUUACAAUGUAUCUCUCCCUCAAAUCCCUUCUUCUCAAUACUCGACAUUUGUUCAUAAAGGAUAAGAGAAAACGGAAGCUCUCUCUGACCCACUUUCAGAACAAAUUUUGGGGAUAUGUGGUUUGCCUUGAUGAUGAUGAUGAAGAUGAUUGUUCUACAGUUGUUUCCAGCAUCAUUGUUCCAACAUCGUUGAAAGCUCCGAUUAUUUAAAGCAGCUCUUUAUCAAGCAAGUUGAGGAUUAAGUGUAACGCCCUACGUUCCGCUACUUAGUCAAUACUAGCGAGUCUCGUUAUACUUCCCACCUUGUGAUGCUUAAUGAAACUAUUUGAGUCUUAACCAUGUUAAACUAUGUGAAACUUUUACUCUAUGUGUUGAUUUCGUGAUGCUUUAAUACAUGAACGAUAUGAAUCUUGACUCUUGUGAAUCUUGAA